GAUCCUUCACAACCACAGCCAGCAAAGCGUGGGUCUGGGCAAGUGUCCUUGAAAGAUAUAGACAAGCUGGAUCAAAUAACCAAACAGAUUAAACUUAUGGAAGAGUCAACACAAGGGGAGGCUACUGAUUCUAAUGAUACAGCCAAGAAAAGUCAGGAGCUGGAGGAAGAGUUACAAAACUUGGCCAAUCAUUAUGAUGACACAGACAAGAAUAAAUCAAAGAAGUAGAAAAAUACAAUUGAAUUUAGUCAAAGAAAAUAUUACGUUUUAAACAAUUUUCUUGUGGACUUA
rnacentral:sRNA from 1 species